GGGCUGCCCGCAGGGUUUAGCAUCUAUUUGCAUUUCAGAAUCCUAUGAGGAGGCUGGCAGUUGUAAUAUGCGGCUGUCAAGUGGAAGAACAAAACCGUUAGCCGCGGGUCCUGUUCUCCGUGCAGAAAAUGGGCUGGUUUAAAUAAUCAUACUCACAGCUUGCCUCCCUGUAGAAGAUUGCACAGAGGCAGCUCUCCGCGAAACCGGGAUUCUGGCUCGACUCUUGUCGGACCUCACAGUUUUUCAGUUUUUCAAACUUGCUUCUGCCAGUCUCUGAUUUUCCAUAAACGUCCUGGAACUCCCAAGGUUUAUUUGCAUUCGAAUAGAGAAGGAGCCAGGACAGGCUACCCUCGAGUCCAGUUGAGAGAGAGAGAGCACGAGAGCACAAGAGCAUGAGCAAGAGGGAGGAUCAGAG